CUUUGUUAAUGUCUCAUUUUUCCACAUUGAUUUUCAAAGCCACCUUUUCCAGUCUGCCACGGGGUUCUCCCCAGCUAGGCUGGCCUCUCAGAUGACUCCGAGGUCUUAUUGUAGCGGGCUAGAGGAGGAGGUACAUCCUGGUACUCUGGGCUGGUUUCAGUUAAGAUGGCUGACAUGCUGACUCUCAUGCACACGGACCUACACCCGCAUGCACUACAUAGAAAACCCUCUAAGACCUUCUUGUUACUUCAUUAGUACGGCCAUUACUAUUACUCUUUCACGCACAUCCCCCUGUUCUUCCUCACGAUAGAGCACCCACACACACACAGUUCCAGCCUCAUGCUGGGUGUUGUCAUGAGCUGUGUUCGAAUACUAACAGUACUAUUUGUGAUGUGAAUUGAGUAUUUACUAUGCUUAUUCGUCAUGGUAUGGAUAUAGUUAGUACACCAAAAGUUCCCGGUUGUCGUACUAAAAUCGGCAGUAUACACGCAGAGGACACUAUUUCCGUACUUUAGGGCCAUAGUGCAAUUCUUCAGGAAAUGAGCAUGGCUUCACAUCGUUUCGAGAUUUGAAGAAAGUGGCGGAAAAUAUGCAGUCGAACCAACCGAAGAGCUGGUCAUGCAGUAACGAACAUCCUGGCCAAAGAGUUGAUGAAGGAGGACACCCCGCCCUCCUUCAGCAAACCGCUCAAUAAGAAGACCAAGGCAGAACAGAAGGAGGAGCCUAGCAUAGAGGGGGCGGGGUCACUAGAUGAUCUCUUAGAGGAAAGCCUAUCACGGUCCAGUUAAAAAAAACGGGUAGAAGUUACCCCUUAGCCACAGAUCUUGGAUCAGCCUACCAUACCCAUAUCCUAACCUUAACCAUGGGGGCAGGGAUACAGAAACUGAUCUUAGAUCAGUGUCUAGCAGCAACUUCCUCCUACUCUCCUUCGUAGGACCACGGGAUUGGACAGACUGGGUCUGAAGGGGCCAAUGGAUGAGUGCGGGGCUCUCACCUUAACCACACUCCCAGGGUUUCGCAGGCUGGCUUGCUAUUAGUCGCUUCCACGCUGAGGGAGGACUCUUGCUCUGCCGUAUAAACGUACAGUAUCAAUGGUCAAGCGUCAGCAUCUGCACACAUCCACUGCACUCUGUCUAUCGCUCAUUCAGUCUCUUUCUCUAUCAAUUUCUCUCACACACACUGUCACUAUCUAUCCAUCUACUUUCCUCUCUCUCUGAAGUACGUCUUGAGACAGUCCCACAGACACUUUAUCAGAAGGGAUCCUAUUUUUUAUCAUUUUUUUCUCCAGAGGGAUAGGAUGGAUUUCCCAAUCUGGAUGGUUGGACUGUCCUACCUAUGUGGAAGCCCUGAUGUUUUAUAGAACAUGUUUAGCUUUUUCCCAGGUUUGGUUUCAAACCUGUUAAAUGUUGCUCUGUAAUUGUCAAAUAUGCUGUAUGUUUAUAAAAGAAACAAGUGCCAACCAAUACAACUUGAAGUUGCACAUGUCAGCCCUCGUGUUGUCCAAUAGGAGUUUGUGUUGGGUUAGGGUGGACCAAGGGAUAGGUCUAAGUGUGUGUGUGCGCACGUGUUCCACAGUCCUCAUCUCAUUUCCCCGGUUCUUUAUGUUCUCUCUGAUUCACAGGGAGGAGUCACUAUGUCGGUGAUAAACAGACUAUAGGGCCUUAUUGGCCAUUCUCAAAGGACGUCUCCACAAGCAGGAAAUUGUGUGUGUGUCCAGAGCUACGUGUGUGUGUGUGUGUGUGUGGUUGUUUGUGCAUUCAUGUUGUGUGCGUGCGUGUGCGAGUUUGUGCUUGGGUAUGCUCUGCCAUCUGUAAUUACUGUAUGGUCCUGCCUCUGCCUGCCUGUCUGCCGUCAUCAUAAAUGCUAUAUUUCCUAAACAGCGCUGUGGUCUUUCUGCUGAAGUUACAGCACACUGGAGACCUGCCCCCCAAAAAAUGCUGAGACGAGUGUGUGUCCCCGAGUGUGUGUCGCCGUGCGUGUGUGUGUGCGCGCUUGCCCCUUUAGACUGCAACACCCGUUGCUGAAUGUCUGGCCUUUCCGGUUUUGUAUUUGUAUUCAACAUCAGCAAAUGUUGCCGCCACAACGUUCGUGUAAUCCAAGGAGAAUGAUAAGCAGUUCUGCCAGUUAACCCAUGCUUUACCAAUCCCUAUGCAAACAUGACAUAUCCCUACUGCUGAUCUCAAGUCAGUCACAAACGGUUAGAGCAUCUGCUUGAACAACUGUGGUUUCCCGUAAGCGCUGAUCAGAGAUCGGUUUGUACAGGUCUCUGGAAUCGAGCCAAGCACAAGCUUGUUGGGCUUUUACCAGCACAACAUAUUGUUAUUAUCAAAGAGCUGAGAGAUCGUUUCAUGAUAAUAAUCAUUGCUUCCUGCAGUAUAUUUCAAAGGUAUAAAAAUGACAAAUGUUACCGCAACGUCUGUGUGACUUAGCAACUUCAGUCAAGGGGCGACGAGGAAACAUUCAGCCCUUAGAUUGUAGUUGUUUGCCAGAAACAGAAGUAUGACGUGUCGACCGUAAGACAACGUUCCUUGUGUGGAUGAGUCAUUUCAGGUGAUCCUGUCCCUAUUAUUUAAGUGGUCUUUUAAAGGACGUUGAGGAAAGGUUGAAAAAACAUCACUGGAAAAUAAUCCAAUUUUCUGGCCUGAUUUUAUAAUUUUCUAGAUUUUUUCAUUUUUUCAUUUUUUUUCUUUUUAUAAGAGCUUGUUUUCUAUGUGAAUUUUUACUCUUGUUUUAAUGGACGUUAAAAGUAGAGGUUCAAGUUGAUUUCCGGAGAUAUCACUGUGGUAAUAUGUAUUAGAUUAUGUAAUUCGUUUGUGCUGUCCGCUACCAUUAAAAUGACUUCAAUAACAAUGUGUCUGAGGAUUCUUUUGUACAACAGAAUCUGUUCACUAUGACGUCAAAUACAGAC
rnacentral:lncRNA from 1 species